CGGCCACAUCACGUUGAAACACAGAUUUCCACACAGUCACCGAAGUUAAGCAAUGUUCAGCCUGAUCAGUACUUAGCUGGGUGACCACCUGAAAAGACCAGGUACUGUAAG